CCUACGUGGUGCAGCAGUGGGGAAUAUUGGACAAUGGGGGAAACCCUGAUCCAGCGACGCCGCGUGAGUGAAGAAGUAUUUCGGUACGUAAAGCUCUAUCAGCAGGAAAGAAAAUGACGGUACCUGACUAAGAAUCCCCGGCGAACUACGUUCCAGCAGCCGCGGGAAUACGUAGGGGGCAAGCGUUAUCCGGAUUUACGGGGUGUAAAGGGAGCGUAGACGGCAGCGCAAGUAUGGAGUGAAAUGUCGGGGCCCAACCCCGGAACUGCUCUGGAAACUGUGAAGCUGGAGUGCAGGAGAGGUAAGCGGAAGUCCUGGUGUAGCGGUGAAAUGCGUAGAUAUCAGGAGGAACACCGGCGGCGAAGGCGGCUUACUGGACUGUAACUGACGUUGAGGCUCGAAGGCGUGGGGAGCAAACAGGAUUAGAUACCCCAGUAGUC
rnacentral:rRNA from 1 species